UACGAAGGGGGCUAGCGUUGCUCGGAAUUACUGGGCGUAAAGGGCGCGUAGGCGGAUAGUUUAGUCAGAGGUGAAAGCCCAGGGCUCAACCUUGGAAUUGCCUUUGAUACUGGCUAUCUUGAGUUCGGGAGAGGUGAGUGGAAUGCCGAGUGUAGAGGUGAAAUUCGUAGAUAUUCGGCGGAACACCAGUGGCGAAGGCGGUCUGCUGGGCAGUUACUGACGCUGAGGCACGAAGGCCAGGGGAGCAAACGGG
rnacentral:rRNA from 1 species